CGUGUUACUGGCAUCACUGGAACGGUUUGUUAUGAGACAUAAGCUGCAAGUUAGUUUUGUAGUUUUUUCAAGGUUGUCAAAUGCUACACGUGCUUGGAUAUACUUCCGGGAAACCGGCGCAGACGCACUGGAUUUGGUCCAUUGUCCUUGAGGAGAACUUAGUGGGUCUGUGGCAAGAGCGUAUUAAUGGUUUGCAGCUAUCAAAUACCGGCUCAUUGUGUACUGGGUAUGGAGGAAGACAUCUCACCCACUCCAAUGUGCCUGCAGCGGGGGUAAGAAUGAUUGAAGGCCUCCUCAGUGGAACAUGACUCCCUGGCUCAGCUGGUUCAGACCUGGCAGUAAAUGGACCACACUAUGCCAAAGAGGGAAGUUUCCAUCAGUUAAGAUGCCAUGGAGUGUGUGUGUAUGUGUGUGUAAAGGGUGCUGGAGGGCAGUUAGGCAUUUGAUUAUUGUGCAGUUGUUGUAAUGUUUACCAGUUGACACCGGUAUUUAUCACACUACAUCAGAAAGUCCUGACACCUUUACAGUUGUCCAUUUUUUUGCCUCAAGAAAAAGAAAUGUUCACCAGCAUCA